rnacentral:misc_RNA from 1 species
UAAUAAGUGUUUUAUGGCACUUUUUAAAUCCAUAUCCACCUUGUGUGCAAUGUCAGGUCGGAUCUUCUUUUUCGUCAAGAAAAGGAUCGACCAAACAUCAACCUUAUUCUAAUUGAACUCUUUGUCUGAAAAAUAUUAUGAAUAAACUAAUUCAAAAUA